UUCAUUCGGCUGUCCAGAUGUA
rnacentral:miRNA from 11 species